UCGAGAAUUUUUCUCAAUGGGCGCAAGCCUGAAGGAGCGACGCCGCGUGGAGGAUGAAGGUCUUCGGAUUGUAAACUCCUGUCAUUUGGGAACAAACCUCCCGGUUAACUGCCGGAGAGCUGAUAGUACCAGAAGAGGAAGAGACGGCUAACUCUGUGCCAGCAGCCGCGGUAAUACAGAGGUCUCAACCGUUGUUCGGAUUCAUUGGGCGUAAAGGGUGCGUAGGCUGCGAGGUAAGUCAGGUGUGAAAUCUUGGGGCUCAACCCCGAAACUGCACUUGAUACUGCCUCGCUCGAGUACUGGAGAGGAGACUGGAAUUUACGGUGUAGCAGUGAAAUGCGUAGAUAUCGUAAGGAAGACCAGUGGCGAAGGCGAGUCUCUGGACAGUUACUGACGCUGAGGCACGAAGGCCAGGGGAGCAAACGGG
rnacentral:rRNA from 1 species